rnacentral:rRNA from 1 species
GAUGAACGCUGGCGGCGUGCCCAAUACAUGCAAGUCGAGCGAACGGACGAGAAGCUUGCUUCUCUGAUGUUAGCGGCGGACGGGUGAGUAACACGUGGAUAACCUACCUAUAAGACUGGGAUAACUUCGGGAAACCGGAGCUAAUACCGGAUAAUAUUUUGAACCGCAUGGUUCAAAAGUGAAAGACGGUCUUGCUGUCACUUAUAGAUGGAUCCACGCUGCAUUAGCUAGUUGGUAAGGUAACGGCUUACCAAGGCAACGAUGCAUAGCCGACCUGAGAGGGUGAUCGGCCACACUGGAACUGAGACACGGUCCAGACUCCUACGGGAGGCAGCAGUAGGGAAUCUUCCGCAAUGGGCGAAACCCUGACGGAGCAACGCCGCGUGAGUGAUGAAGGUCUUCGGAUCGUAAAACUCUGUUAUUAGGGAAGAACAUAUGUGUAAGUAACUGUGCACAUCUUGACGGUACCUAAUCAGAAAGCCACGGCUAACUACGUG